CUGUGACCUCUGAAUAUCGAAUGCACAUUGAUCCAAGUGAUGUAUAUGUAAAACGUUGAAAGAGAAAGUGUACUAGAGAAAUUCUGGGAAACAUAGUCUUGAGAGACAGAUCUCCGACGAAAAAGAGACAAAUACAAUGGCAUUUAAGUGUGAAAUUUGCCAGAGAAACAAUUUCAAAACUGAGCAUGGACUGCGGAUUCACAAGUCUAAAGUCCACGCCAAGUAUCCUGAGUCUUCUGACAUAGGUGCUAGUGCAGCACCGUUGACUCCAGUCAAAGCAGGAGCACGUCCAAAAGCUAAAAGAGACAGGAGAAAAGGUGAAGGACAGAAUGGUGGAGGAAGUAAUGACUUAUAUCCCAGUAAUGAAAAACUUCAGAGUACGGAUGAAAGGAAAAAGCCUCCAAUCAUGAGUACUACGAGAGAGAGAAAAAGUGAAGAUAAAACUGCAAAGGAUCACGUUCAACCUCCUACUGCUGGCAGGAAAGACAAAGGUCCUUUAAGAUCCUGUCCUGUAUUGGAUUUUGGUAAAUACGUGAUAAUGCAAGAAGCAAGCAUUAUACGACGCAAACCCGAAACUUAACUAAGAGUAGACAGGAUCAACAGAUUUCUGGAGGAAUUACAAAAAGUCAUGGAAUGGACUUCACAUAUCCCAUUGGAUGUUCUUAAGUCGGGUUCUUACUAUGACAGAACAAAGAUAGACUAUGACGAUGAGUUUGAUUUCAUGUUUUAUCCUAAAGCCAACAUGGAGGCUGAUUUUACACACUGCCCACCUGGAUUUUGUAAAAUUAAGAAAAUUCGAACAACUAACAAGAGUCUUGACUCGCUUUGUAAUGAAAAUGGAUACCUGGUUCCCAAUCGUUUUAAAGAUUAUAUGUUCAACAUUUUCAAAGAGUGUAUCGAAAGUGGAAACUUCAGAGAAGGCAGACGCACAAAAAGUACAGCUACGAAUGAAGUCACCAUGAUGUCAUUGUAAAUUCUCAAAAGGACUGGUUGCAUAAUUUUGUUGAUGGGUAAGGUGAGAUGGUAGGGUGCACUAAAUGUAUUUUGAAAACUAUGAAAGUAUUUAUUUUGAUGUUGACACUCCUUUAAAUACCCAACCCAAGAGUGAAAGAGGAUUAACUUGUUUGUAUAUAUACAUGUUUGUUUACAUGUGUAUUGAUCUUGGAAUUCAGACGGUGGAUAUACGGUCAUUUAUGAAAUUGCUUUGCAGCAUAUACUAAUUAAUUAUUCUGCUUAUCAAUAUCAAAUUAUCAGUUAUCGAGACACGAUACGCAAGAUGUGCAUCAUUUUCACAUUAGUUAUUACGUAUGAAGGUAUAUCGCAGAAUUAUGACGGUUGCAUUCCUUUGAGCUUUGCAAUAAUUGUGGUAGAAUAAGGGAUAACAUGAAAGGUGAAGAUAACGAACAGUGAUCAAUCUGAUAACUCCUAUAAGUAAUACAAAGUAGAUAGUUGGGCAAACACGGACCCCUGGACACACAAGAGGUGGGAUCAAGUGUCUAGGAGGAGUAAUCAUCCCCUGUCGACCGGUCACACCAGCCGUGAGCCCUAUAUCCUGAUCAAAUAAACGGAGAUAUCCGUAGUCAUCAAAAUCAGUGUGCCAAGAACGACCUAACAAUCGGUGUGAAACAUGUCAGACAGCAUUUGACCCAAUGAUAGGUUGUAUUGACGAACUAGAUCGUUAUAACGACCAUAAAAUUUGCGAAAUGCUGAUUUCAACCGAGACAGUUGAAACCCCUGUACCAUCAACUUGUUUUUCAGUUGCUUACCUCGAUUUAAAAACUAACUAUACGCAGAACAAGCUCUAGCGUAUCGAAUCAGUUGAGAGAUAUAAACAUCAUAUGCAGGUGAUAAUGGAAUAUUGCUACAUAGAUAUGAGAAAUUGACGAUGGAGAAGUUGAAAUCAUCCCGUUUCUCACACAGUUGAGUUGUCAGUUUGCCGUUAAUAUCUACUUUAAAUAAAAUAUCUAAGUAUGAAGCAAAAGUGGACGACUCUGUAGUGUCUUUUAUUUCGAGCUCACAGGGAUAUAUUGAUUCAACAUAUGAAUGCAAGUUCACAUUGCUAGUAGACAAAACGUCGUCGAUAUAUUUAAAUGUCGAAUUGAAGGCCACAGCAAAAGAUUUCUUCUCGAGUAUAAGUUUUUAAAAAAUAAAUUCUGCUUCAUAUGAAUAUAGAAAUAUAGAUAUGAAUGUUUUAGCAUUAGAUGCCUUUGAAAGGUGAAGAUUACGAACAGUGAUUAAUUUUCUAACCUCUAUAAGCAAUACAAAACACGGACCCUGGACAUAUCAGAGGUGUCAUCAGGUAUCUAGGAGGAGUAAGCAUAUCCUGUUGACCGGUCAUACCCCGCCGUGAGCCCUAUAUGUAUGUCUUCAUCAGUUAGACUAAGUUAUCCGUAAUGAAAAUCAAUGUUACCAAGAAUCUGUAUGGAACAUGUCAGACAGCAUUUGACCCAAUGAUAGGUUACUGACUAUCGUAACAAGUUGGGAUGUAUCAAAAUUCGUAGGACCCCUUAAACAGUUAAAACAGAUCUUUAUGGUACAAGCAUUGAAGUGCUGUUCGAUCAAAAGUGAUAUUUCCUCGUUUUUUUUUUUUAAAGGAAAGGCACGUCUUAUCGGACGUUUUGCUUUGACAUCGACAUUUUCAUUGUUUUCUCUUUGCGAAAGUCACACCAAGUCGGAAAUCCUACUUUCACAGUGAUAGUUGCCUUGGUUUUUCUUUUGGGUUUUUUUUUUUUAGGAAAGAAACGCCUUGACGGGAGUCCUGCGUUCACGGUGCUCUAUGAUUUACAAGUUCAAGGUGUAAAGCCCAUCGACAUUGAUCUUGUUCCCGCAAUUAGAGUGGAAGGCUGGCCUCAAACUGCUAGAGAAAUCCGUCCACAAUGGCUCAGAGACAGCAAUGUUAAAAUUGCAACGGAAUGUUUUCAUGUUGUUACGAAGACAUUUCCUGGAUCUCAUCCAGAUAGCAACCUUCUUUGGCGCGUGUCUUUCUCGCACGCCGAGAAAGAACUGAUUCUCCAUGCUAAUCAAUAUGACAACGGCUGCCGCAAAGAAGUCUUCAAACUUCUGAAAAAAGUAAAGGAAAACAUCAAAGAGGAAAGUCAAAGUGAAAUCGAUAAAUUCUGCAGUUAUCAUCUGAAGAUGUUUAUGCUGAAGUUUUAUGAAAAUCAUGACAGUUUCGACAUGGAGCUGAAGGAAACUCGUUUUAAACAAAGUAUCAAAGAACUUACCAAAUGUGUAAGAAAUGGAAAGAUCGAAAAUUAUUUUAUUCCAGAGGACAAUGUAUUGCACUUUGUUUCAAGGGAAGAAAAGCAUCUCGUUGCAGAGAAACUACAGAAAUUUCAAGAGGACUAUAACUUGUGAGCGCAUUGUUAACACCCAAUGUUCGCAUUGUAUAAAUAUAUUCGGUGUGCGAAAGCAUGUUCUAUGUGUGAGCAAUUUUAAAAUGACAGAGGCAACGGACAAAUAAGUUGAUGUUACAGGACAUCCAAGAGAAUUUAAGCAUGUGAGUGCAUUGUUAACAAUCAAUUUUAUAUUUAAUAUUUAAUAGACUAAAUUUAAUAUUUGCAUUUUAGAUGUUGAAAGGACAUGAAUGGUUAUUUAGCCAGCCGACAUGUAUUCUACGGUUUAUGUCACGAUAGCUGGUACAGUAACACGAGUGUAUAGCAUAGUGCUGGGGACGAACAAUUUUUAUUUGUUAUGAAAUUAAUUCGUAAUGUUCAAUGACCUCAUACAUGUAAUAUGUUUUAAAACAUAAAGCGACUGGAAAUUGUGAUGAUUGUGCUCUGCUUAGUUUGUUUGCAAUUUGUCUUGAAAAUAUGUAUUUGUACGACUCAGUAUGAGGAAAGGAAAAAUACACGUUAUUUAUAUAGAAUUUGCGAUAUGCUGAUUUCAAUCGAGACUGUUUUAUUUUUAUUCGUUUACUCUUAUAUAAUAUAUGCAGUAUUUACUAUAUGCAGAGACUGGAUCAACGAAGUUUUACUAGAUGCAGACUCUGGCGUGUACUAAAUCAGAGUGUUUUAACCUUCUAUCCUUGUAAUCAUCUUUGAACUCGUACUAUAUCUAGUGGCAGUGCCUAGCCUGCAAUAUAAAAACACAACUCAUGAGAAA